rnacentral:rRNA from 1 species
UACAGAGGGUGCGAGCGUUAAUCGGAAUUACUGGGCGUAAAGCGCACGUAGGCGGCUUGGUAUGUCGGAUGUGAAAUCCCCGGGCUCAACCUGGGAACUGCAUCCGAAACUGCCUUGCUAGAGUAUGGGAGAGGGAAGUGGAAUUUCCGGUGUAGCGGUGAAAUGCGUAGAUAUCGGAAGGAACAUCAGUGGCGAAGGCGACUUCCUGGACCAAUACUGACGCUCAGGUGCGAAAGCGUGGGGAGCAAACAGG